rnacentral:lncRNA from 1 species
UUAAAUCUUAUUUUAUUUAUAAAACAUUUCUUAAACUCUCUUUUAGUUCUUUGUUUUGUAUGGGUUAGGACCUAAGAGCCUACGCUCACAAAUAAGAAAGCCAUGCCUAGCCCAUUACAAGGAAGCCCUACACAGAGCAGAGAAAACUUUAAGUCUGCCGCUGCUAAGAAGGAUGCCAGAAAUUCAUAAGGUUAUUGUGGAUAAAUAAUCCCCAAACUAAAGAAGCAAAGAUAACCAAACAAGCAGGCAUAAGUAUCUCAACUCAACAGAAAGCCUAGUUGCCAAACUCCGAAGUGCGACCUUGGAUUCAUCUAUGCUAAGGGAAGGAGAAAAGACCAAGCAGAGCUCCUUAACAUCUUUUGCGCCUUGAGGAUCCACCACCCAUAGAUAGUAAAGCAAUAUUGAAACAAAGAGUUACUUGGCGACUAAAGAUGAGAACCUUCCCCCAACCAAGAUAGAUCAACAAAAUAGGAUGAAGCACUAAUAGAUGAGCCAACAAAGAAGAGCCGAAGAAAGAAAAAAAAAACCCUCCUAAGGGAAGAACCUUCUCUCCUUGGUGCAAGCAAGAAUCAUAGAUAGAAAAUAGCUGAUGAAGCACCGAAACCUGCAUGCAAACAACAAGCGAGAACACACAAGAGCUGCAACAAAUAAAAUCGAGCAAAUCAAAGCAAAUCCCAACUUAUAAACGCAAAUCUGCUCCAAAAAGAAUAAGAAACUAUUAUUUAUAAACACCAUCCCACCCAAAAGGUGGG